CCUACGGGAGGCAGCAGUAGGGAAUUUUGCGCAAUGGGCGAAAGCCUGACGCAGCAACACAGCGUGAAUGUUAAGCCCUUCGGGGUGUAAAGAUCUGUCAAUAGGGACGAAUUUUGACUGUACCUAUAAAGGAAGCACCGGAUAACUCCGUACCAGCAGCCGCGGUAAUACGGGGGGGGCAAGCGUUGUCCGGAAUCAUUGGGCGUGAAGCGUUCGUAGGCGGCAAGGUAAGUCUGAUGGUAAAGCCCGGGCGUCAACGCCAGUUCGGAAUUUGAUACUAUCUAGCUAGAAUGUGGUAGAGGUAAAGGGAAUUCCUGGUGUAGCGGUGAAAUGCGUAGAUAUCAGGAGGAACAUCGAUGGCGAAAGCGCUUUACUGGACCAUUAUUGACGCUGAGGAACGAAAGCCAGGGGAGCAAAUGGGAUUAGAUACCCCUGUAGUC
rnacentral:rRNA from 1 species